UUAUAAAUUGUGCGUCAGUAAUUUAAAAACUGUUCUAUCCGGGGUUGCAUAGCACGAAUGUUAAGUGAGACACAAAAUAACUAUAUAUAUGAAUAGUUAGUAUAAAUGGUAGGUCUGAGUAGUUCGAGGGUCGAUUCUGUUCUGGCUUGUGUGGGUGAGGGUGACCGUGACCUGAGCCUCAAGGGUUUGGCUUUUCUUGGAGGUUCGAGCGGUCACAUGGCUUAUCAUGUGUACAGCUGCAUUCACGGUACGGUUGUACACAGCAAAAAUUAAUAGAAAAAAUUGGUAAAGUUGCAGAAUCGGUCACUCUAAGGAAUAUUUUCUAGCGCAUGCGUCGUGAGUCGCAGGUUUCGCGCUUCUUGAACAAUUUGUAGUGCUGUGUUGUCGCUUUGCAACGGUCAAAAUAUUCGAAUUGUUCUUUGUGAAAGUUUUGUGUUCUUUGAGACUAUUAUUGUGAAUUACAUUUUUUAUUUCUUUGGUUAUAUUUCCGUGGUGUUUUUAAAACAAUAUAUUUUCCUUACUCUUCUGAUUAUUUCCAUUAUUAACACAGAUUACAGAUUAUUAACAUUAUAUUUGUACUCCUUUGAUUAUUUGGGUGCUAUAUUUUUAUAAUAUUACAUUUAUAUUAUUAUUAUAUUUAUAUUUUUUGAGUUAGUUUAGUGCAAUAGACUAUGGCUGUUCAGAGAAGGUCAAAGGCUCUUACUAGUAUUGUUGUGGCUAAUGAAGUAGUUGGUAUAGAUUUGAAUGAAUCCUACAAUUUGGCUGGAUUAAGUUUUGGCAAUCCAUUGCUUGCAAUACAGUGGUGUGUUAGACGCGGAAUACUUAAGAAUAGGAGUAUAUGUGCCAACUGCAAUCUAGCCAUGUCAUUCAUAAAAAAAAAGUGUACAGAUGGAUACAUAUGGCGUUGCAAAGGGUGUGGAAAAUCAUCAUCAAUUAGGAGCGGAUUAUUUUUUUCCAACAGCAACUUAUCAGUAGAAAAAAUGUUAAAAAUAAUUUAUUGUUGGGCGUGUGAUAUGCCACAUGAAGUGGUUAAACGAGAAGUGGGGCUAGGGAUGGCGGCUACCCACACAAUGGUAGACUGGUCUAUGUUCUGUCGGGAACUCUGCGAGCAACACCUGGUAGGAAAUCCUGAGGUUUUAGGUGGAUGGGAUGAAGACGCUCAAGAGCCUAAGAUAGUAGAAAUCGAUGAAUCGAAAUUUUUUCAUCGAAAAUAUCAUCGUGGACGGUGGUUGCCUGGUGCAUGGGUUUUCGGUGGUAUUGAGCGUGGCUCUGGGCGUUGCUUCUUGGUGGAAGUUCCUGACAGAACUGCAGAAACCUUAUCUGCUAUAAUUCAAAGGUUGGUUGGAGAGGCGUAUUUAGGAAAGUAGAAGCAUGUAUUUGAUGGAUGCUAGGUAAAAAAUAUUUUUGAACUGUUAGAAUUUAGUAUAAAUUGUGCAUGUUAUUUUAGAAAGUAAGAGCAUGUACAUGUUAGAAAUAAUAUUUACAUUUUUUCCAGAAUUUCGAAUUGAAUUAUUUUUUUUUUUUUGUUUAUAAGUAUAAAAAUAUAACUUUAUUUAAUGGAAUAGGUACAUCUUACCAGGAACAAUAAUUAUGUCCGAUGGGUGGAGGAAUAUAUCACCAUGAAGUGAUUAUUCACGAACAUAAUUUUGUGAACCCUGAAAAUCGUGUAAUUCACACGCAGAACGUGGAAAAUAUGUGGAUGAGGGCGAAAAGGAAACUCCGUCGCCAAUUUGGUACCUCACAAACCUUAUUUCCAUCGUACCUCCACGAGUUUAUUUGGAGGAACAAAUUUAGGUA